GUUGCUGUUGAAGUUGCAAAGGACACUUGGCUCCUGCAACCCAUCAGUGGUCCAGCAUCUGUUUGUUGGGGAGUCCCAGAUGAUACAACAUAGAACCUUCUCACCACCCUUCCUGGCCAUGAGAACUGUUACCCCUUCAGUGAGAACCCAGAGCAGCUGAUCCCCAUGGAAAGGGAG